GCCAAGAAAAAGAAAUUCAGGAAAAUUCAGCCAUGGAUUGGGUCAAUCAUUAAUCAUAUUUAUUGGGUUGGUGACUCCAGUGAGACUGAGGAUGAAAGAGAGGAAAAAUGGCGCAGUAUUCUAAACCAUAUAAUCAAUGUUCAUGAACAUGCUGGCCAUAAAGUGUUUGUAAAAUGUCUCCAUGGCACAAUUGAAAGAGACUGGAUUAAAAAAGGAUCAGCUGCUCACAAAAAAUUGGAAGAGAUGUUAACAAGGCCACGGCUCAUUUCUGCAAUCCGCAAGUUAUCGAAAUAUCAUCAGACAUCUGGUUUGGAGGCCAAACAUGCUUUAGACAACUUACUGGCCUCAAAGAACACUUAUCAUUCCUAUCAUUCAUUGAGUGCAAGAUUGUACUGUUCAAACUUGCACUACAAUGAAAACAGCAACAGAAAGCAGGCAACAACUGCUGAUGGAAAGCUGAGAUGGGCCAUAUCUUAUCCAAAGGCUUUUAAAGGAGAGAAAGCUGUGGCAAAACCUUUAAAAGAAAAACCGACCUAUGAGUAUGUACAUUUGAUAUUAAGUCAAGUUAUAAAACUCCGAAAGCAGUACCCUACAUUGAAGAAGGCCAAAGAACAUGCAAGCAAUGUAC